AUCGUAGACGUCAAAUGAAGUUUUUAAGAGUCCAAAUUUAUUUUUAAUUUAUGACUAAUAGUAAAUAAUUAUGACCAAUAAUAAAUUUAACAAAUCUAAUCUACUGAUUUUUAAGAUGAAUGAUUUAGAUAAAUAAGGGCACGAAAGGUACAAAUUUCUAGAAAUAAACCACAAGGCUCUAGCCAAGGGAAUAGGCCAGAAUCCCAUACAAAUUUCUAGAAAUAAACCACAAGGCUCUAGCCAAGGGAAUAGGCCAGAAUCCCAUCUCUCUCAUUUCUUUUCUUUUUCAUCGCAGAAUCUCUCUCUUUCUCUCUCUCUCUCCUCUUUGAUAUUAACGCCUGAAUCGGCAGCCCUACUCUCCAAAGCAAACACCAUCUCUCUCCACCUCUCAGUCCUACGCGCCACCACCCACGCCCCCUCCGGCCGUCGGUUAGAUCGACGCAACUACGGCCCUGGGUUCUCUAACCCAACUCCGGCCAUGGGUUCUCUAACCCAGUACUGAUCGGAACAAACCCAGUAUCCUCUCUCCUCUACUGAUCGGAACUCUUUUCUUGUAGCCGGCGUCAGUGACCCAUGAGUGAUGGUUGAUACUUCAUAUAGGCAACGCUACGUGGUACUCUGGAAGCGCUGAAUAAAUAGUUGUUCAAAACACACCCGUCGCUUUCCCUUCAACUUAGUUAUUUUUUUUGAAUUAGGAGAUGGUCUUAUUGAUUCAGUGAAAGCUCCACAGUAGAAGAGAGACAAGCAGAGUUAUGCCAUAUGGAGCAGAGUUAUACCCAACCACGCUAUACCCAACCGAAAAAUAGAAUGUCACCUGGAGCAGAGUUAUGCCAUAUGGAGUGUUCUUAAAACACGUUUGCCUCCUCUCGGGUGGUGCUCAAUGUUUAUCCCAACAUAUGUAUCCCAGGAUACAACAGUUUCUCGUAGUCCAACCACACCACGUACCUACUAAAACUGCCUAGCUUACAGAAUUGCACCCGGACUACUCCCUCACACCGGAAGAACGAAGCUAGAACAAAAAUGGAAGGUACAAAUAGAAUUCUGGUGUAGGCAUCAAGUGGGCGAUUGACCUCUCAGUAGCAAACACAAUCUAUCCGUCAGAAUGUAUAAAAUCAAAUCUAUUCAACCGUGAGACUAUGAUUUGAUUCUGAUUUUGAUCCACUUGAUACUUCAUGUUGAGAAAGUUUCAUUCACAACAUUAGAAGCAACAAAGAUUUGCACACACUUGGAUCGAUCUAAACUCGACAGGAAGCAACUCUC